CUCUGAGGUGUUAGACAGCAGAGCGAAACCUUGGAGAUGGAAUCUAUAAUCACGUCAAGACUGUUACCUGUAUACACUUAGGGAUGGAAAGUCUUCAACGUCACUCAAACGGUGUCCAAGUGGAUUUGCAGGAUUCGCAACAGCGAGGAGAAUAAUGGGAUUCAGGUUGGUAUUACACUGCCAUCGGGUAAGUGGAUUGAGUCAGUCCUGCCGUUUUCUGAGAGACAGAGAGAAUCACCCGAGGAGAAUGCCCACCUCCAGUAGUUAUAUUCUCAGGCGAUGGAAGAUGCUCAACCACUAAUCGAUCACUAAAUCAAGCCACGCCACAACACCUGACAGUCCGAAGGUAUCGCCUCAAGACAGCAGGAGCAGGCGGAAAUGCGCAGCACCAAGUUAUCCCCGCAGCCGCACCAUGUAAUGCCAGCGGAUCCCCCUCUUUGUGGACCUCGAGGUAAUCGGCUGGGCUGGCUGGAUCAUUUCUCCACGGGGUUACAAUGCUUACUAAUUAAUGCAAGAGCUCCUGUCCGUUCCCACUCGGAAAGAGUUUCCGUGCCACGAAUCACGCGACUGUGCAGUCUGUCAUGCACGCUCUAAAGCUCUCCAAUGAGGAGGAAAACGUGGUUCUGAAACAGUAUGACGAUAUGGUUUCAUUUUACACAGCUUUCAGAAAUAUUGGUUGAAUUGAAAAUAUUAAAAGUAU